rnacentral:rRNA from 1 species
UAGGGAAUCUUCCGCAAUGGACGAAAGUCUGACGGAGCAACGCCGCGUGAGUGAAGAAGGAUUUCGGUUCGUAAAACUCUGUUGUUAGGGAAGAAAAAAUGUAUAGUAACUAUAUACAAAAGAGACGGUACCUAACCAGAAAGCCACGGCUAACUACGUGCCAGCAGCCGCGGUAAUACGUAGGUGGCAAGCGUUGUCCGGAAUUAUUGGGCGUAAAGCGCGCGCAGGUGGUUUAGAAAGUCUGAUGUGAAAGCCCACGGCUCAACCGUGGAGGGUCAUUGGAAACUAAUAAACUUGAGUGCCGGAGAGAAAAGUGGAAUUCCUAGUGUAGCGGUGAAAUGCGUAGAGAUUAGGAGGAACACCGGUGGCGAAAGCGGCUUUUUGGCCUGCAACUGACACUGAGGCGCGAAAGCGUGGGGAGCAAACAGG